ACCUGCUGGUCGCAAAGUGAAAAUACACAAGAAUAAAAUGUGUGAAUUGAGUCAAAAGUUCUAAAUUUAAAUAAAAAUGAUGAACAAAAUGGAGAAUGCAAGAAUCGGCCAAUGAUAUAGAGGUAUGUACUGUUGCCUCCAGACUCCAGUCACCGUUGUUGCAGUUUCGGAAAUACAAAUCGGAAGCAUUGAAGGUAUCUUUUGUAUUGCUUCUACUUUUUGGUUAUUAACUAAUUUAGCAAUAUAGACGGAAGCAUGGAAAAUAUGAAGAAAGCUGUGAUUGCCACAAUACAACUGCUAAUGGAAUAUUCUUCAUCUGGCAGCAAUGAUGAAAGGGAUCAAAUUAUUGUGGACAAAAUAACACCAUGUGAUGCUGAGCUUAUUACUUUGUAUUUUAUUUGCUUCUUUUUCUAUUUAAUACGAGAUAACUCAACUGAAAAAAUUUGUACUUUUUGUGAUUUUUCCCGCCAACAAUUCAACUAACUGUUCGUAAAACUUACAAAUUGUUACUGAUUUUGCAUUCAUCUACUUUUUUUUGAUGAUAUUUUUCUCUUUGCAAGCGAAUGCUUGGAAAUUAAGUUACUGGCAAGUUACUAGAUAAUUUUACAUUAGCAAACCUAUUGUAUCCCGUACAUAUGAGGUUCAGCGAACUAGACAGUGCUAGUUUACUGUGCUACCAAUGUCAUUCCGGUAUGUAGAAGCGGCUUUCAUGGAAAUGAGAGCCCUAGAACCGGCUGCCGUACUUCUCUUUUCAAAUUGUGGCGAAUCGUUGUUUUGGAAAAUCGCAUAGUACAGGCUUGUAUCCUCUUAGUAGAGAUUUGUAUCCUGUUAGUAGAGGUUUAUAUCCAGAGAGAUUUGCGUUCUUUGAGGAGUGGUUUUGAUGCCAAUUUAACACAAAAUAUGAUAAUUCUCCGCAUUAUAUUUUUUUUUUCAAAAGUGAGCUCGCACUAGGAGUAAUUUAUUCCUCAAAUUGUACCAAAAAUGUAGUGUAAAAAAAAUUUUCCGCCUAAUAAAGUCAACUUACUGAGUUUCGUUUAUUUAUUUUCGUGUCUUAAUAAAAAUAGCAAACUAUGGUGUUUUUUAAGCCGGUCUAUAAAUAAAUAAACUACAUACAUAAGUACUUUUUUUUUUAA